rnacentral:other from 1 species
CUUUAGAAGAAUUAUUUUUGUUCGGUGUAAAGGAUAGUCUGAGAUUAACUUUUCGUCUUGAUGAUCACUGAGUGCAAGGAUAGUAACACAUUGUGUGCAAAGCACACAGCAGGAGGAAACAAAAUGGAACAAGGUAAAGUAAAAUGGUUUAACGCAGAAAAAGGUUUCGGUUUCAUCGAGCGCGAAGGCGGAGAAGAUGUAUUUGUUCAUUUCUCAGCAAUCCAAGGCGAAGGUUUCAAAUCUUUAGACGAAGGUCAAGAAGUUACUUUUGACGUUGAGCAAGGCCAACGUGGAGCUCAAGCAGCUAACGUUCGUAAAGCUUAAUAAUAGAACAAACUAAGCAGGCUCUUUAUAGAGUCUGUUUUUUU